AAAUUGAAGAGUUUGAUCAUGGCUCAGAUUGAACGCUGGCGGCAGGCCUAACACAUGCAAGUCGAACGGUAACAGGAAGAAGCUUGCUUCUUUGCUGACGAGUGGCGGACGGGUGAGUAAUGUCUGGGAAACUGCCUGAUGGAGGGGGAUAACUACUGGAAACGGUAGCUAAUACCGCAUAACGUCGCAAGACCAAAGAGGGGGACCUUCGGGCCUCUUGCCAUCGGAUGUGCCCAGAUGGGAUUAGCUAGUAGGUGGGGUAACGGCUCACCUAGGCGACGAUCCCUAGCUGGUCUGAGAGGAUGACCAGCCACACUGGAACUGAGACACGGUCCAGACUCCUACGGGAGGCAGCAGUGGGGAAUAUUGCACAAUGGGCGCAAGCCUGAUGCAGCCAUGCCGCGUGUAUGAAGAAGGCCUUCGGGUUGUAAAGUACUUUCAGCGGGGAGGAAGGGAGUAAAGUUAAUACCUUUGCUCAUUGACGUUACCCGCAGAAGAAGCACCGGCUAACUCCGUGCCAGCAGCCGCGGUAAUACGGAGGGUGCAAGCGUUAAUCGGAAUUACUGGGCGUAAAGCGCACGCAGGCGGUUUGUUAAGUCAGAUGUGAAAUCCCCGGGCUCAACCUGGGAACUGCAUCUGAUACUGGCAAGCUUGAGUCUCGUAGAGGGGGGUAGAAUUCCAGGUGUAGCGGUGAAAUGCGUAGAGAUCUGGAGGAAUACCGGUGGCGAAGGCGGCCCCCUGGACGAAGACUGACGCUCAGGUGCGAAAGCGUGGGGAGCAAACAGGAUUAGAUACCCUGGUAGUCCACGCCGUAAACGAUGUCGACUUGGAGGUUGUGCCCUUGAGGCGUGGCUUCCGGAGCUAACGCGUUAAGUCGACCGCCUGGGGAGUACGGCCGCAAGGUUAAAACUCAAAUGAAUUGACGGGGGCCCGCACAAGCGGUGGAGCAUGUGGUUUAAUUCGAUGCAACGCGAAGAACCUUACCUGGUCUUGACAUCCACGGAAGUUUUCAGAGAUGAGAAUGUGCCUUCGGGAACCGUGAGACAGGUGCUGCAUGGCUGUCGUCAGCUCGUGUUGUGAAAUGUUGGGUUAAGUCCCGCAACGAGCGCAACCCUUAUCCUUUGUUGCCAGCGGUCCGGCCGGGAACUCAAAGGAGACUGCCAGUGAUAAACUGGAGGAAGGUGGGGAUGACGUCAAGUCAUCAUGGCCCUUACGACCAGGGCUACACACGUGCUACAAUGGCGCAUACAAAGAGAAGCGACCUCGCGAGAGCAAGCGGACCUCAUAAAGUGCGUCGUAGUCCGGAUUGGAGUCUGCAACUCGACUCCAUGAAGUCGGAAUCGCUAGUAAUCGUGGAUCAGAAUGCCACGGUGAAUACGUUCCCGGCCUUGAACACACCGCCCGUCACACCAUGGGAGUGGGUUGCAAAAGAAGUAGGUAGCUUAACCUUCGGGAGGGCGCUUACCACUUUGUGAUUCAUGACUGGGGUGAAGUCGUAACAAGGUAACCGUAGGGGAACCUGCGGUUGGAUCACCUCCUUA
rnacentral:rRNA from 1 species